GUCUGAAGGCACCUCGGGUCACCACGGGCAAGCCCUGCUGGCUGCUACCGCACCCUCUGCCGCUUCUCGCCUCUGCCCGCCGACUCGCACCCAAACGCGACAUCUGUGGAGAGAAACUGCGCCUAUCCCGACUCCCUCCCCCCCCCAGGAAUAAUCCCCUGGGGCUCCAAUAGCUGUUACAGAUCGCCUGGCGACUGAAGAGCUCGAGUAAGACGUUUUAUUGGGGUGGUUUUUUUUUCCCCAGCAUCUGAGGAAACGCGUGGCGCGAGGAGACCGACGGUCGCUCCGUUUUUCACUCCCGCGCAUCCCGCCAGCGCUAGACGCGGGAGGGCCACCCCCACCCCCCGUAACCCGGCUCCCCGCCCCGGAGGCUGGCAGUGCUGCCCUGCUCGGGGGUCGCCGGCAGCCGCCCGCAAGCGCCGCUUCCCAGACCUGGGCACAAAAGGCGGUGCCGGCCGCCGGGAGGGAGGCCGGCCGGGCGGGCGCCGCCGCUGCGCCGCGCACCCCUCAGCUGCGGCUUGCCCGCUCCCCGCCGGGAAGGAAGUGACGUACCUGGAGGCGGAAUAGAGCCGGUUCGAGGGGCGCCGAGGCGGCCAUGGCGGUUGCGGGCGCUGCGGGGCGGAGCCCGUCGCGGGGCCGCGCCCGGGCCGGGGCGAGCGCCGCUUCCCGCGCGGAUCCACGCGGGCUCCAGCGCCGGGCACGGGGGCUUACGGACGCCCUCAGAGCAGCCGAAAGCGGUACCGGCCCCGGCCGGUCUCCGCGCAGAGCCCCACGCCGGCAGGCGGCUCGCGCCAGGGCCAAAGAUGGCGCGCCCCUCGCCGGUGGGCCGGAGGGCGCAUCCGGUGCCUCCUCAGUAGCCUCCGGCUGGAAACACGCGGCGGGAGGCGGCGAGCGGCGCUCCGCGCCCGGCCCCGCUCUUUGCCCUUGGCAGGGGCAGCGCCCGCCGCGGCCAUGGCGGCCUGGCCCGCCGUGCCCCUCCUCAUCAACCUCGGCGGGUCGCUGCUGGGCUUCGUGGCCACGCUCACGCUGAUCCCGGCCUUCAAGGACCACUUCCUCGCCGCGCGGCUCUUCGGCCAAGACCUCAACAAGGCCUCGCGGCACCCCGUCCCCGAAGCACAGGGUGUGAUCAGCGGGGCCGUGUUCCUGAUCACCCUCUUCUGCUUCAUCCCCGUGCCCUUCCUGAGAUGCUUCGUGGAGGAGCAGUGCGCGGCCUUUCCUUAUGACGAGUUCGUGGAGCUCAUCGGUUCGCUCCUCGCCAUCUGCUGCAUGAUUUUCCUGGGCUUUGCCGAUGACGUUCUGAACCUGCGCUGGCGCCACAAGCUCCUUCUUCCUACCAUGGCUUCCCUCCCGCUGCUCAUGGUUUACUUCACCAACUUUGGGAACACGACCAUUGUGGUGCCUAAGCCCUUCCGGGUGCUGCUGGGCAUGCACUUGGACCUGGGUAUCCUCUACUAUGUGUACAUGGGCAUGCUAGCAGUGUUCUGCACCAACGCCAUCAACAUUCUUGCUGGAAUUAAUGGAAUUGAAGCAGGGCAGUCUCUGGUGAUAGCUGCUUCCAUCAUCGUAUUCAACAUUGUAGAGUUAAAUGGGGAUUAUCGAGAUGAUCACAUUUUUUCCCUCUACUUCAUGAUUCCCUUUUUUUUUACCACGCUGGGGCUGUUUUACCACAACUGGUACCCAUCUCGAGUGUUUGUUGGGGACACCUUCUGCUACUUUGCUGGCAUGACCUUUGCAGUGGUGGGGAUCUUGGGGCACUUUAGCAAAACAAUGCUGCUUUUUUUCAUCCCACAAGUGCUCAACUUCCUCUACUCGUUGCCUCAACUGUUCCACAUCAUUCCUUGUCCCCGUCACCGGCUGCCGAGGCUCAAUCCUAGUACAGGGAAGUUGGAGAUGAGCUACUCCAAAUUCAAAACUAAGAGCCUCUCUGCCCUGGGAACAAACAUUCUGAAGGCAGUCAAGAUCUUGCACAUAGUAGAUGUGAGGAGUGGAACAGAUGAAGAUGGCGAAUACACCGAGUGCAAUAAUAUGACACUUAUUAACUUUGUUAUAAAGCUGAUUGGACCCACCCACGAGCGAAAUCUCACUCUCCUGUUGCUACUCAUUCAGGUCAGACAAAUGGUUCCUCCAGUAGAAAGACGUACGAUGCAGUUGAGCUGUGCAAAUUGAGGAGAAUCAGAGGUUUACACAGCUCAAGGAGGAAACAGAUUCCUCCCCCCUCCCCGCCCCAUUCAUUGGGAGCUAAUAAAUAUAAAGUCCCUAAGUUAGCUUGAAAAGAGUCCCAAGGCACAAAUCGCUGGCUGCUAGAAAAACAUUAGGAAAGCAGAGUGCCUUGUCACUCUGAUCCGAUACAGCCUUUUUUCCACAUUCGUUUUUCAGUCACACCAAAUAAUAGUCCCGGAGUUAUCUCCAGUCAGCGGACUUGCGUAAGCGUGGCAGGCAGCUCAGCGGUAUCUGAAAUCUGAGUGGGGUGCAGGAGUGUUUUGAAGCAACUUGGAGCACAAGGAUAACGUGCCUCUCAGAUACUGCCGCUACCUCCAUUCAGCACAUGAACUCGCCUCCAUAAUAUAGUAGAAACACUGCUUUUGGAAAGGCCUGCAUUGUUUAGUUGCCCACAAUAAAAUUAUUUUUUCAUCCUCAGAUCAAAGAUAAGAGAUUCUUACUAGGAAAGAGAAGAGACACUUAGCCAAAUUCCCAUUGGUGAGGAAGGACUUCCAGCAAACAAACCUGGAGACUGAGCAGGGCUUAGGCAGGCUACAUCGGGGAUGGGAGAGGACGGGAAGUACAUACUGCUUGAUCUUGAGCCCAGUCACAGCAGAGAAGUCUUGUCAGCACCUUCUUGUAAGGAUGCUGAAUUGCAGCUUUGACAUGAGGUCCUGGGUAGCACAAUUGCUUUUUCAAUCCGGUACCAACUAGUGCGCUUGUUUUACGAUGUAUGACUGGGCUGUCGGGAGCAGGGGAAAGAGUUGUACCUGCCAGUCAAUUUUCUCCAGUUGCUGACCAAAUGAUUCAACUGAUCUUACUCCGGCCCUCCGAGAACCUCAGGACAUCCGUCAGAAUGCAAGCAACUACUCUGCGUGGGCCAGUCUUGAACUGUAAUCAUCUUUUUUUGUGCACAGAAGGCUUUUGUCCGAUUCUGCUGACAGAAAAGAUUCACUGCUACUUGGACAUCAUUGUUACUGGGAAUACCUUUCAGAGGGGAAGUAAAUGACCCAAAUGUUUACUCACAGCAAAGUGGGAAGGAUGAAAUCUCUAUACAUCUAGCAACCAUGUUACUGUUCCCCAAGAGAGGAAACGGGAACUUCCAUUUCCAUGAGACUCUGUACAGCAGAGCAAGUAAACCAGAAUCCUCUCCUGGCUUCUCCAAUCCUGCCUUUGGUCCAUGGACAUAGAGUGACAUGUUAUAAACCAUACCCAAAACUCAAGAGCGCUCUGAGAAUAAAAUAACUCAUGGUA